UCCUAAAAUAAGUACAGUUUUAGCACUGUUCAUGUCUAACGUUUGACCGUUCGUCUUAUUUGGAAAAAAUUUAUAAUUAGUAUUUUUAUUGUUAUUACAUGAUAAAACAUUGGUAGUACUUUAUGUGUGACUAUUUUUUUUAAUUUUUUCAUAAAAUUUUCAAAUAAGACGAACGGUCAAAAUGCUAAACACGAAUAUAUAUGGCUGCACUUAUUUUGGAACGGAGGUAG
rnacentral:pre_miRNA from 1 species